AGUGAACGCUGGCGGUAGGCCUAACACAUGCAAGUCGAACGGCAGCACAGUAAGAGCUUGCUCUUACGGGUGGCGAGUGGCGGACGAGUGAGGAAUACAUCGGAAUCUACUUUUUCGUGGGGGAUAACGUAGGGAAACUUACGCUAAUACCGCAUACGACCUACGGGUGAAAGCAGGGGAUCUUCGGACCUUGCGCGAUUGAAUGAGCCGAUGUCGGAUUAGCUAGUUGGCGGGGUAAAGGCCCACCAAGGCGACGAUCCGUAGCUGGUCUGAGAGGAUGAUCAGCCACACUGGAACUGAGACACGGUCCAGACUCCUACGGGAGGCAGCAGUGGGGAAUAUUGGACAAUGGGCGCAAGCCUGAUCCAGCCAUACCGCGUGGGUGAAGAAGGCCUUCGGGUUGUAAAGCCCUUUUGUUGGGAAAGAAAAGCAGCAGGUUAAUACCCCGCUGUUCUGACGGUACCCAAAGAAUAAGCACCGGCUAACUUCGUGC
rnacentral:rRNA from 1 species